CCGCUUGGGCAGCGCAUAUACUAAAAUGGGAACAACACAGAGAAGAUUAGCAUGGCCCCUGCACAAGGAUGACAUGCAAAUUCACGAAGCAUUCCAUAUUUUA